rnacentral:rRNA from 1 species
GAUGAACGCUGGCGGCGUGCCUAAUACAUGCAAGUCGAGCGAACAGACGAGGAGCUUGCUCCUCUGACGUUAGCGGCGGACGGGUGAGUAACACGUGGAUAACCUACCUAUAAGACUGGGAUAACUUCGGGAAACCGGAGCUAAUACCGGAUAAUAUAUUGAACCGCAUGGUUCAAUAGUGAAAGACGGUUUUGCUGUCACUUAUAGAUGGAUCCGCGCCGCAUUAGCUAGUUGGUAAGGUAACGGCUUACCAAGGCAACGAUGCGUAGCCGACCUGAGAGGGUGAUCGGCCACACUGGAACUGAGACACGGUCCAGACUCCUACGGGAGGCAGCAGUAGGGAAUCUUCCGCAAUGGGCGAAAGCCUGACGGAGCAUCGCCGCGUGAGUGAUGAAGGUCUUCGGAUCGUAAAACUCUGUUAUUAGGGAAGAACAAAUGUGUAAGUAACUAUGCACGUCUUGACGGUACCUAAUCAGAAAGCCACGGCUAACUACGUG